rnacentral:lncRNA from 1 species
GCCGUUUCUCAGUAGUGAGUGCGGAGGAUGAGCUCACACAGCGAACGCGAUGCAGUCGUUAUUCUGCCCCUCCCGACUUCUACCUGGACACUCUGCCUCAACCGGUCAAAUGCGGGUCGCUGCCUCGGGCCUCCAGCUCUGUCCCGGUGGAUGUCACUGUUCAUGCUCGCUUCAUGUCGUCUGACUCAGGGGCAGAGAGCAGCCCUGCCAAGCUGCCCCCUUCCACCCCGUCCCAGCACAGUCGCUCUGAAAGAAGAGGAAGUGACCUCAUGAAGAGAGCAGUAGCCUUCUUGCGCCGUUCAGGGCGCAGCAGCAGCGUUCAGAGCUCGGACUCCCCAGCCCGACAUGGAGGGGUGCAUGGUUCAGCUUAUGGGAGCAGUGACAAUGACUCUGAGAUGGAAGACUCUGACAUCAAGAGAGAGUUACAGCGACUCAGGGAAAAGUAUGUUUAAUUAUUGCUUUAUAUUGUGACACAGAAUUUACAUCAUUCUUUCUCCAUAUUUUUAGACAUUUGCGGGAAAUUUCAGAGUUGCAGGCCCAUCAGAGAGGGGAAGUGGAACUCCUGUAUCAUCGGCUUGGUAAAGUCCCUCCUACUGGCCUGGGGCUUUCCCACACAGCGCCACCUACAGGCCGUAGAAAGAGGUCCAGUAAACACCGGCUCAAAGCGGGCAAACUCCUAAGCCCUUUGGUUCAGCAGUUUAGAAAUGUCACAACCAGAACUAAUGAAUCCAGCAAGGCCUGUUAGUGUCCUUUUAACUUCAUGUAGUGUGAUAAACAUGUGCAUCUGACAUGCUCCUGUUUUCUGCAGCUGCAGCUUGUGCUGGUGCAGGGGAGACAGUGGUAAGUGUGAAUGGAUCUCCAGCUAAAGGGCCUUCACUGAGCCACGGUCGCCCGCGCUCCUGCACCAGCCACCUGCCCACCUCCACUUCGGAGCCAGUGCACACACAGCAACCCUGCUCUCUCAAGGGCUCCUUCUCCUCUGACAACAUUUACUCCGGGACACAUGCAGACGGCACCAGCCCAGCAGCUCCUACUGUGCAAGGGUCAACACUUAAGCGGCUGUGUUUGGGCAAAGACCGUGGCAGCAGGCCGGGUGCAGGACCUGGAGGUCUCUCGCAGCCCCACCAGCCGCCUGCUGGCUCCACCCCUCCGCCUCAUCAGCCCAUCAUCGGCCUUGCUCAGGCCAAUAACAGUAACAACAAAACACGCUCUUACAGUGUCACUGAGCAUGUCCUAUCUGAAGACCUGCAGAGGCUCAUGGAUGACUGGGCCCAGGAGGUGCUCAUUGUGACUCACCGUCCCGGAACAAACUCUCUGAGCAUCAGUGGGCAGCGGCUUUGGGAAGAGACACCCCGAAAACAUCCACAACAGCAAACCAAUGUCUCCAGUGUAUGUUUAAACUCAGACCAUUAUUUUUGAUUUAUUGAAAUUGUCAGUAACAAAAAUUAGAAAGUGUUUUAAACAAAUAUAUUGGCCGAAAAAAACAGAAUAUCGUAAUUUUAAGCAAAACCAUGUCUAUACUGGUCUAUACGUUAAUUUGCCUUUUACUUUUGAGGUUUAACGAUAACUUGGCAGACUUUAAUGUUUAACUUAACUACAUAUUGUACUUGCUUAAUAAUAAUCUGAAAGAAUACCCAAAACAAACAUAAUGUUAAUUGUCAAAAGAAGUGAUUUUUUUCUACAGUUAAUUUCUAAAUGUAAUCCGUUUGUAUGAUGUUGAAGGUGUGGGCUGCGGUGGAUCAAAACUCCUACAGCCUUCCUCCGGCUGAUGGUUCAGGGUGUGCCCUGUCGAACCAUGCCUCCCCACGGCAUUGUGCCUGCUACCAGCCCCUGUCUGUGUCUCCGCUCCAGGCUCUACCAUCUCAGCUCUCCGUCAGUCAGGGGCCCAGCCUGCACUACCCCACCCCCCUGGAGGAGUAUUCGCUUUCCCAUCUGUCUCCUCAGCACAGGAUGCCCUCCCAAUCCCAGCCACAUCUCCGUCAUCUCAGCCUCUUCAUGACCCAAGGGCUCAGUGACUGCAGUAGCAUUGUGUCUUCCAACUAGUAAAUAAUAGUAAAUAAUAUGUGCAUAUAUUGUAUAUAUUCAAACAGCAUGAUUUGUACAUAGUAGUGACAUUUUAGUUUUAUUUCUGACUAAAGCCACAUUUACACAUUAGGCCAAACAUUUGACUACAGUCAUAUGAAAUAGAAACAUCUGGAGUUUAUGAAGUUCAUCAACUCAACUAUAUACUGUAUCUUAGUGCUCAUUAGGUAUGCUUGUACUGGCACUACUUCAACAUUAUGAAAACUGUGGAAAGUUAAUAUUGAAGAUUUAGCAUAGAUGAAUGUGGUAUUAUAAAUCGUUUAAGCAUUGGUCGAUUUAACUGUGAUUACUAAAGAGGGUAUGCAGAUAGUGUUACAUCAUGGCAACAAGCAUAGCAACAGAGCCAGAGUGGCAAGUCUGAUUUUUAUUUUUAUUUGACACUCAAUACAAAAUAUUGAGGGUUUUAUUUAGAAUGAAAAGAGCACAUGUGCAUACCCUCAGUGGUUCCCAAACUUUUUCACUGACGAAAGUGUUUAGACCCUAUAAAACAGUGGUUCUCAACUGGUAGUUCGGGACCCAAAAGUGGGGCGUGGCACUAUUUCCAGUGGGUUGGGGGCAUAUAUAUAAUAUACAAGAGAUAGCCAGUUAUGUAUUCAAAUUAACAUGGCUGCGCACUCUCCUCACACGAAGCCUGUUCCUUAAAAGGGCAAAAAGGCGGGAAGCCUUGGUCUGGCUACGAGCCUCCACCGUGCUCCAGAGCCUGGCAAUCAUAGCUUUAGGCUUCAACUUUUUAUUGCUGAUGCACAAAAACAGCCUGAUUAAAAAUAUGAUACCCAGCCGAGCAAAUAAAGUUUUUGGAGCCAGGCUUUUAAGCAGUGCUAGAGAGGUGCAAACACUACAUAAGAAUGCUGUUCACAAAGUGUCUUUUGUAGUCGCCCCCAUUUUAAGUCAAAUUUGAAAUGAAUAUUGUUUUUGGUUUGCGACUUGUUGAAGGAUAUAAAAAGGUGCAACCUUAACAUAAACCCACGUAUACAUUAUUUUAAGAAUAAUAAAUAUAAAGAAUACUUUUCAGUGUCAGAUGUAACAGGAAUAUACGGAAAGGUAUGAAUAUUUUCUGAACCAACUGUAUACACUACAACAGAAAUAAUGGUGUUGUCUUACAAUAUACAGGAUUUGAGAUUUAACUUUCCCACAUUUUUUUUUAUUUUGUUGAAGUGCCUGUACAUUACCAUUGUCCACCCCGAUGAACUUCUCUUAGUUUGCCUUCAUAACAAGUAAGCUGCCGUGUACAUACAGACUCAGCCUGUUUAUAGCUGUGUCAUUUGUACAGUCAAUGAUAGACUAGGUUGGUGCUGCAGCUGCACAGCACUGUUAGGCACUAUUAUGUCGUCACUGUGAAGUCCAGCGCUGGUCAAUAGCAUAGGCUGCUUUUAGUAAUAUCUGCUUUAACAAUCAAGAAAUAAGUUUCAAUUGUAAUCAGAAGCUAAAGGCUAUAAGUAACACUAGAUAUCCUUUCGAGAGUGUGAAUGAACUUGAACUUUAUCUUCAGGUUUUCCAUACAGACCUGUGAGAGUGCCUUGAACCGCAGUUUCAGAUGUGAAGAAAAGCAUUUAGACUCAAAGCAGAGAUUAUCCUCACUUGGUUCCUCACUUGGUUUGAAAGGUAAUUAACAAAUCAAGUUGCUGCACAGAAAAUAGAUGUAAACAAUUGUUCUCUUUGUUUUUCCACACCACGACCUGCAUGAACACAGGUUGAAAUGGUGGUUUGUAUAGACUGUAAGAAUAGGUGCACUAGACUGAAUCCACAUCAUCCCAUACCUCAGAAACCAGUAGCUUUACUUAUCGUUGCCUUUACGUUUACAUUUAUAAAAGAGAUUAUGGGGUGAUUAUUGGCUGAAUAUUACUGAAAGUGCAUCAUACAUCCAUGAAAUGCACUGUGUAGGCAACUUUAAAGUUAUUUUUUUGCAACUAGCUCACAGAAGAUGUUUUAUCCAUAAUCCAAACAAUUGUAUUUAAGAAUGUAACUUUCUGUAGUCUAGCAGAUAUUACCCUGUUUUAAUUCUACAGCACUGACUUUGAACAUUAUGGGGGUCAUUUAAGUGUCUGCUUGUGUGCAAAGCGAAUAGUACGUGCAAAAAUGGAUCAGCACCAGAGCCAUUUAUGUAUUUUUUACUCACACAGCAUUCUCGCAUUUACUUGUCAGAUUUGGUGCUCUAAAAGUGUAAUACUGGCGACAUCAAAUGGUAAAUUAAGUGCAACAUGGCAACAAAAUGGCAUAUUUUAUUUUUCAGCUUGCACCCGCUAUUUAGCCCCUGCCUUGAUAAGUGACCCCCUUUGAAAAUCAGGGGCAAACAUGCCUUCUUUAAAAGUUAUUUAUUGAGGCCAUUUGAUGACAGACUACAAUAGCAAUUAUGUAGUUUAAAUGAAUGUAUUAAUCAAGUAAGAACAAGAGACUUACCAAUUUCAAAUAAAAUUACAGUAUGCAAAGGGCAUACUGUACAAAUAAAACAUACAGACAUGCAUACAUUUCUAUGCUUCAAACCAACAGUGGUUUUGAAUUCUGAAAUGGAUUCAGCAACACACUAUUACACAAUAAAGAACAUACAUAGUUGUUUCCAUAAUGUUUAAUAUGAUUUAGAAUAACUUGGUUCUAUGCAGUUGCUUUCUUGUACACUUGUGUCUUAAUGCUUGCAGAGAUUGCUUUUGCCUGCUAUUUCACCCUGCACUUCGCUGACUUGGUCAGAACUCUUUCAUAAAGCUGUAUAUACUUGAAAGAUAGAAAUAUACAAUAAAUUCAUUUUUGCUUGACCUC